rnacentral:lncRNA from 1 species
AAAGUGAAUAGUAAUAACUCUUAAUAACUCCACUGCCUCAAAAGAUACUAGAGAACAAUGACAAUACGUCUGAAAUCAUAUCAAGAGCUGGUGAACAUCCAUAGGAAAUUAACUUUAAGCUCCAACGGAUUCAUCCCAAGUCAAUUAAGCAAUUUUAUGUUCAUAAAGAAAUAUAUUCCGUUGGCAACUAAGUUCACAAAUCAGCAGCCUUCUCGUCAAACAAAAUAGAGUACCAAUGUUGCAUAACCGAUUAAAUUAAUGCCUCAACACACCAAAUCUAGUAGGCAUGAUAGAAACAAUGCAUUAAACUAAAUAAAAGGCAUUCCAUCACAAACUAAGCAUAAACUUGAUUUAACAUUUAUUAAAAUUAACUAUAAUGUAUGAAUUUAAGAACAAGUUUGAGAGGUGGACAUAUUAAUAAAAUUAUAUUCAAAGCAAAUUGUAUAGCAACAGAGAAAAGCUCCGACAAGAGCCGAUGACCACUGAAUCACAGAACCAUGACCGAGACUCCAACGACGGUGGCGAACUCGACAGACGGAACUCUAGUGCAACUUCACUGUAGCGGCAGUUUUGUGAGUCAUUUUGAAGGGGUUUUUACCUUAGUUAUGAGCUGGGGUUUUGCUGGUUUUAAGAGCUGGAGUUUGGGAUAUUUUUACUAGUUUUCAUGGCCAUGCUAAGUUGGAGAAAAAAUGAGUAUCUUGGCUGUUGUGUUGGUGUUGUUGCGGUUGUUCCCUUUAGAAUGAGGGGAGAGAUGAGAGCUCUCAGAAAAAUCAAAGGGAUGGUCGGUUCUCUCAAAGUGAAAGAGAGAGUGCUUCAAUGGAGGAAAUGGGUGGUCGACCAAUUUUUGUUUUGUGUGUGGGGCUACUCGCUCUCCUCCCUUUUGUUCUUAAGUUUUUAGCUGAUCUUCCUUUUUAGAGAAGUGGGGGGUGAGACUCUAGUUAUGGGAUUAGGUUUUUGGUGGGCUUAAAGGGUAUUGGGCUCAGAUCUAGUGGGUAUGGAGUUGGGCUAGAGGGUUGAGAAAAUUGGGCUUUUGGCUAUUGGGUUCAGGUUUUGCCCAAUUUAGGUCAUGAUUUGGACAUUUGAGCAAAGCAAGACUUUUGGAGAACUAGUCCGAAUUAAAUCUUCUUUUCUUUUUGUGGUUUUAAAUUUUAUCAAAUAAAACUUAUAAAAAGGUAAAAUACAAUCUAAAAUAUCAAGAUUAAACUUAAAAACUAUUUAAAUACUGAAAGUGAUAAAAACUCCAAAUAUGGUACUCUUUUCUUGGAAACAUGAAGAGUUUUCAAGAAAAGACAAAGUGAUCCAUGUGACUAAUAUUUGACCAAAUCUUUAUUCAAAAGGGAAAAUAAACAAAAGAAAGGGUGCAAUCGAGUCCUGAUUUUAGACAUCAUACAUAUUCAGGGUUAUAAGAGAAUCAGGUCGCGUGUAGUUCAAGGAGAAUUAUGGAAUGAUGAGUUGGAGAGUCGAGUGAGGUUCCGUCGAGACUCUGGUUCGUGGUCCUAUUAUUACAUCAAAAUUAAAAUCUAAAGAAACUAAACCAACCUAUCAGCUAUGAGUUACAAGAUUCAUAUCUAUAAAUCUUUUGAAGAUUGAUUUUGAGUCUUGAAUGGUUCUUCAUGCAGACUUUUGAUUUGAAGUUUGAUGCUUGCUAGCUGCAGGUGCUAGUUCAUCUUUCACGGCUUCUUCUGAUAAAAACGGGGAAUGCAGUGCUCGUGACUUCAGGCAUGUCUUGAGCAGCUCACAUCUUUCAUCUGCUUCUGCAUUUUGGGUUUACUUCUUUUCUUUUAUUCUUUUAUUCUGGAUCGAGACUUCUUAUUUUGGUCGUCUCGAACCCUGUGCCUCGUGGUAAAAUCUGCUCAGACACCAAAAUAAACAAACGGACAAAAUUGUUUUGCCCCAAUUUUUACUAGGAAAAUUUCGUGAGUUAAUGUAACAAAAUUCUAAAUUACUUCUUUAUUAAAAGCAAUAAAAUGUCAGGAAUGGUAUACCCUGAAAAGAUCAUGAUGAUUUUUUUUUAUGGUGUUCCUUUAUUAUCAAAAAGAUGUCUCAACUAAGGAUUGGUGUACUUUAUGUUGGGAAAAUGCGCUUAGGGAAUGGUAUACCCUAUAUUGGCAAAGAUAUCAGGGAGUGGUGUACCCUGUAUUUAAGAUCAAAUCAACUAGGGAGUGGAGACCCUAUGUCUAAAAUAAAAUCAACUAGGGAGUGGAGACCCUACGUCUAAAAUGACAUCAACUAUGGAGUGGAGACCCUAUGUUGGAAAAGGAAACAAAGGUUGAAAAGGAGACUAGAGAGUGGAGACCCUAUGUCUAGAAUAAAAUCAGCUAGGGAGUUGAGACCCUAUGUUGGAAAAUAAGACUAGGGAGUGGAGACCCUAUAUCUAAAAUAAAAUCAACUAGGGAGUGUAGACCCUAUGUCAAAAAUAACAUCAACUAGGAAAUGGAGACCCUAUGUCUAAAAUGAACCAAGAAGGAUUUUUUUUUGUUGAGAAAAUCAUUCUUUUAAACAAAUUGCCCGAUGCUUAUUUUCUGAGGGAAUGAACAAAUGACCCUUUUUUUUUAAAUCCAGGCUUCUUUUUUUUAAUUAUCCUAAAAGAAAAUUCAUCAGACUAGGUUUUCUUAUCUUAGGAGAAAAAUUCAUCAAACUAAGACUUCGAUCCUAGGAGAAAAUUUAUCAGACUAGUUUUUUUUUGUUAUCUUAGGAGAAAGAUUCAUCAGACUAAGAUUUCUAUCCUAUGAGAAAGAUUCAUCAUACUAGGUUUUCUUAUCUUAGGAGAAAAAUUCACCAGACUAAGACUUCGAUCCUAGGAGAAAGAUUCAUCAGACUAGGUCUUUUUUAUUUUAUGUUAUCUUAGGAGAAAAAUUCAUCAGACUAAGACUUCUAUCCUAGGAGAAAAUUCAUCAAACUAGGUUUUCUAUCUUAGGAGAAAGAUUCAUCAGACUAAGACGUUUAUCCUAGGAUAAAGAUUCAUCAGACUAGUUUUUUUUUCUAUCUUAGGAGAAAGAUUCAUCAUACUAAGAUUUUGAUCCUAAGAGAAAGUUCAUCAAACUAGGUCUUUUUUUUUGUUAUCUUAGGAGAAAGAUUCAUCAGACUAAGACGUUUAUCCGAGGAGAAUGAUUAAUCAGACUAGAUUAUUUUUUUGCUAUCUUAGAAGAAAGAUUCAUUAGACUAAGAUUUCUAUCCCAGGAGAAAAUUCAUCAGACUAGAUUUUCUUAUCUUAGGAGAAAAAUUUAUCAGACUAAGACUUCUAUCCGAGGAGAAAGAUUCAUCAGACUAGGUUCUCUUAUCUUAGGAGAAAGAUUCAUCAGACUAAGAUUUCUAUCUUAGGAAAAAAAUCAUCAGACUAGGUUUUCUUAUCUUAGGAGAAAGAUUCAUCAUUUUUAUUGGGAAGAAAAUCCAUCAGACUAGGGUGUAUUACCAUAGGAGGAAAAAUAUGAAGAGCAAUGGUAAGAUUUUAUGCACACUAGCAAGAAAAGUAAAGGCAAAGUUUCGAGAAACUUCCCUUCGACGACUUUUUUUUUAAUUUUUUUCUCUCUUUUUUUAACAAAAAAAUUGUCAGUUUUGAAAGUGGUGGCCGAUUUGUGGCCUUGAUGUCUUUGGCAGCUUGGCCUUGUGCCCAUUCGCUUCUGGAAGACCGACUGCAUUGGUAGUUGGCUGCACUGCUGGGAGACUCUAUUGUUGCUUUCAAGGGACCUUUACUUUCUGUAUCAACACUGACUGUUUCGCUACCGGUUCCAUUUGUAUUUUGUGGGUUAAUCAACCUUAUCUCAAAAGAUAUUUCUUUGCUUAGAUAACUUUUUCUGAUAACUUGAAUGACUUUUGCUUUUGGAGCAAUUUGUCUGUCAGAGAGAAUCACAACUGGUAAGUGCCUUUUGCACGAUGUGCAUACUUCAUAGUCCUCAUUCGGUACUACAGAGUCCCUAAUUAACCUUGAGGUUAUCUUUGCUUACUUUAGCCAAGUAGGCUAACAAGAGUCUUUUGGGUGAAACUUUCGUAUUGCACGAAUCCUCAAGACAUGUUGGAUGUAACAACUGAGUGUGUUGGCCAAAUUUACUUUGUGCAACUGAAAAGCAGGUAGCAGAUUUUGAAAUCUUUUCUCGCUUGUUUUGACAAGGACUGACUUAGAGCCAAGGACACAAUGAUGCGAAGAAACAAUAUUAACAAGAAAUGCCCCUGUCGGGAAGGAAAAGAGGAAGAUUUUUUUUGUGGCAGCUAGCCUUAAUGAUCAUGACAUGCAUUUUAGACUUAGCGGUCUGAUCUUUCAAAUCACUCUAACAUUUUCUCUUGUCACUCAUUCGAGCUUUGAAAUCGAGCAUCUUUGUGCCAAUUAUUUGCAUCAGACUCACGACUCACCUUCGACUAGUGGUGCCCCGAGGGAUUUUCGCCAACAAGACUCUCUCAUUUAUUUUCUCUACUUACCGUCGCCUUACAGUGCCCAUGAGGAUUUUCACUAGUAAGACUCUCUUAUUUUUUCUUUUUCUUUUUCUUUCCUUUUUUUUCUCUUGUGAGCAACUUGACAGUGUUCUAUGU